rnacentral:SRP_RNA from 1 species
GCCAGGUGUGGUGGUGCACACCUGUGGUCCCAGCUACUCAGGAGGCUGAGAUGGGAGGAUCACCUGAGCCCAGGAGGUUGAGGCUGCAGUGAGCCAUGAUCAUGCCACUGCACUCCAGCCUGGGCAACAGAGUGAGACCUUGUCUCGA